CUAAGGGCCCAAAUAUCCUGAAUGCACCAGAUCCCUUUUGAUCUUGGAAGCUAAGCAGGGUCAGUACUUGGAUGGGAGGCCGCUAAGGAAUAUCAGACAUUGCUGGCU
rnacentral:rRNA from 1 species